AGUACUGGUCGGGUUUCACCCCUAUCACCCGGGUACUCUCAAAGGAAGCGUUCAUCGGUGGUUUUCGGUCUACCAACUGGUUCGAUCACCAGCUUAACGGACCUCUCUCUGAAGUUCUUUAGACCCUGCAACCAAGUGUAGCCGCACCAAUGGUGGAAAAUACAACAAAUUUCACAAGGACCACAACCACUUAAUGGACCAUUGUAGGGAGUUCUCAGGCUAUGCCUGAUAAAGCACUGAAUCUGCUACCAGGGCUCGUGGUGGUGCGAGGUGAUGCCGG
rnacentral:lncRNA from 1 species